AAAAAACAAACAAAGAAACAAAAAAUCAAAACAAACAAAGAAAAAAGAAAAUAGAACUGAUUCAAAUGACGGUUAAGCACCUGAAGAAAAGUUCUGGACUGGUAGAAACACAAGGAAACCCUCAAAGACUGUAUAUCUAAAAAAUUCUAUUUUAUAUUCCUGUGAACAGUUUUAAUCCUAUGUGGUAGAUUAAUGUAAGUUAGUUUAUACAAUACAUAUUUUUCCUUUUUGACUGGCUUAUUUCAUUGAGUAUAAUGUCCUCAAACUAGUCAUGCCUUCCUAACUAUCCCCCAAAGUCUUAACUCAUUUCAGCAUUAACUCAAAAGUCCACAGUCCAAAAUCUCAUCUGAGACAAGGCACGUCCCUUCUGUGAGCCUGUAAAAUCAAAAGCAAGUUAGUUACUUCCUAUAUACAAUGGGGUACAGGCGUUGGAUAUACCCAUUCCAAAUGGGAGAAACUGGACAAACGAAGGGGCUGAAGGUCCCCUGCAAUUCCAAAAUCCAGUGGGGCAGUUAAAUCUUUUUUUUUUUUUUGAGACAGAGUGUCGCUCUGUCACCCAGUCUGGAGUACAGUGGCUCGAUCUCGGCUCACUGCAACCUCUGCCUCCCGGGUUAAAGCGAUUCUCCUGCAUCAGCCUCCAAGUCGCGGGGACUACAGGCGCACGCUGCCACGCCUGGCUAAUUUUUUUUUUUUUGUAUUUUAGUAGAAACGGGGUUUCACCAUAUUGCCCAGGCUGGUCUCGAACUCUUCAGCUCAGGCAAUCUGCUCGCCUCGGCCUCCCAAAGUGUUAGGAUUAUAGGCAUGAGCCACUGUGCCUGGCCAGGCAGUCAAAUCUUUUUUUUUUUUUUUUUUUAAUUAUACUUUAAGUUCUAGGGUACAUGUGCACAACGUGCAGAUUUGUUACAUAUGUAUAUAUGUGCCGUGUUGGUUUACUGCACCCAUUAAUUUGUCAUUUACAUUAGGUAUUUCUCCUAAUGCUAUCCCUCCCCCCCUCCCCCGACUCCACACUCCACGACAGGCCCCGGUGUGUGAUGUUCUCCUCCCUGUGUCCAAGUAUUCUCAUUGUUCAAUUUCCACCUAUGAGUGAGAACAUGCGGUGUUUGGUUUUCUGUCCUUGCAAUAGUUUGCUCAGAAUGAUGGUUUCCAGCUUCAUCCAUGUCCCUAUGAAGGACAUGAACUCAUCCGUUUUUAUGGCUGCAUAGUAUUCCAUGGUGUAUAUGUGCCACAUUUUCUUAAUCCAGUCUAUCAUUGAUGGACAUUUGGGUUGGUUCCAAGUCUUUGCUAUUGUGAAUAGUCAGGCAGUCCAAUCUUAAAGCUGCCAGAUAAUCUCCUUUGACUCUGUGUCUCACAUCCAGGUCACGCUGAUGUAAGUGGUGGGUUCCCAUGGUCUUGGGCAGCCCCUUCCCUGUGGCUUUGCAGGAUACAGCCUCCCUCCCGGCUGCUUUCACAGGCUGGCGUCGAGUGUCUGUGGCUUUUCCAGAUGCAUGGUUCUGAGUCCAGGUAAGGUUGGAGAGGGGCUGCAGGGCUAGAUUUGUGAGGGCGGGUGGCGCAUGGGUCUCAUUUUCCCUCCCUCAGCUGGGACACCCCACCACUCCUCUCACUUCCCCUUCUAGAAGUGAGAUCAUGGAUGCAAGAUGCGGGAUUAUCUGGCUUGGAAUCCUGAGUCCACUACUAUGUAGAUGAAUUGCCUCGGGCUUGUGACUCAGGUUUUCUUCCAUAUUAAAUGCCGUAAGAAGCACUUGACUUUGAGUCCCCAGUUCCAAAAUCCAAAAAGCCCUGGAAAUCAAGUUGUUUUGGUGAAUUGUUUGGCAGCAAUCUCUGACCUGAACUAACUUUUUGUUAAUUGUAGUCUUUUUUUUUUUUUUUUUUUUUUUUAAAGACAGUCUCACUCUGCCACCCAGGCUGGAGUGCAGUGGCACUAUCUCAGCUCACUGCAAUCUCCACCUCCUGAGUUCAAGAGAGUCUCCUGUCUCAGCCUCCCUAGUAGCAUGGAUUAGAGGUGCCCAUCACCACACCCAGCUAAUUUUUAAAUGUUUAGUAGAGAUGAGGUUUCACCAUGUUAGCCAGAUUGGUAACUGUGGUCUUGAUUUUUUUUUUUUUUUUUUUUGAGAUGGAGUUUCGCUCUUGUCACCCAGGCUGGAGUGCAAUGACAUGAUCUUGGCUCACUGCAACCUCCACCUCCGGGGUUUAAGUGACCCUCCUGCCUCACCCUCCUGAGUAGCUGGGUUUACAGGUGCCGGCCACCAUGCCUGGCUAAUUUUUGUGUUUUUAGUAGAGACGGGGUUUUACCACGUCGGCCAGGCUGGUCUCAAACUCCUGACCUCAGGCGAUCCGCCCACCUCGGCCUCCCAAAGUGCUGGGACUACAGGCAUGAGCCACCGCGCCUGGCCUGUAGUCUUGAUUUUUAUCCCACUUAGUGUGAAUGUUAACACUUCUCAUUGUAAAAAAAAAAAAAAAAGAUGUGGUGUUUGAUUACAAAAUGCUGUCCCGACCUCACUGAGGUGAUGCAUAAAAGAUGGUAUAAGCGCUAGGCGCGGUGGCUCACAACUGUAGUCCCAGCACUUUGGGAGGCCGAGGCGGGUGGAUCACAAGGUCAAGAGAUCGAGACCAUCCUGGCCAACAUGGUGAAGCCCGUCUCUACUAAUAAUAGAAAAAUUAGCCGGACGUGGUGGCGGAUUUCUGUAGUCCCAGACUUGGGAGGCUGAGGCAGAAGAAUUGCUUGAACCUGGGAGGGUGGAGGUUGCAGUGAGCUGAGAUUAUGCCACUGCACUCCAGCCUGGACAACAGGGCGAGACUCCAUCUCAAAAAAAAAGAUGGUAUAAUCCUGUACACCAUCUUUAAAUACUGGUAAAUUCUGAGUUCCAAAAUGUAUUUGAGGUCCAGGCAGUGGCUCAUGCCUGUAAUCCCAGCACUUGGGGAGACCGAGGCGGGAAGAUCGGCAUUUCGGGAGAUUGGAGUUUGAGACCAGCUGGGGCAAUGUAAUGAGACCUCAUCUCAAAAAAAAAAAAAAAAAAAUAGCCGGGUGUGGUGGCCUGUGCUGGCGGUCCUAGCUAUUUGGGAGGCUGAGGUGGGAGGAUCGCUUGAGCCCAGGAGUUUGAGGCCGCAGUGAGACAGGAUCAUGCCACCGCACUGCAGCCUGGGCGACAGAUCAAGACCCUGUAUUUUCAGUAGAGGUGAGGUUUCGCCAUGUUGGCCAGGCUUGUCUUGAACUCCUGACCUCAAGUGAUCUUUUAUUAUUAUUAUUUAAGUUCUGGGGUACAUGUGCAGGAUGUGUAGUUCCAUUACAUAGUUAAAUGUGUGCCAUGGUGGUUUGCGACACCCCUCACCAGGCUGCAGUGCAAUGACGCGAUCUUGGCUCCCUGAAACUUCCGCCUCCCAGGUUCAAGAGAUUCUCCUGCCUCAGCCUCCUGAGUAGCUGGGAUUACAGGCGCCCUGGACCACGCUUGGCUAAUUUUUGUAUUUUUAGUAGACGGAGUUUUACAUGUUGGCCAGGCUGGUCUCGAACUCCUGAUUUCAAGUGAUCCACCCACCCUGGCCUCCCAACUCAUUAGGUAUUUUGCAUUGUCUGCUUUGAGAGACAGUCACCCAAAGUGAUCUUUGUGUUUCCUCUCUUGUCAAAUAGAUGCACCAAGGAGAAAACAGAACUUUUUUUUUUUUUUUUUGACAAGGAAUCUCACUCUUGCUCAGGCUGGAGUGCAGUGGCAUGAUCACGGCUCACUGCAGCCUUUGACCUCCUGGGCUCUACCCAAUCUCCCACUUCAGCCUUUGGAGUAGCUUGGACUAGCACACCACUACAUCUGGUUAAUUUUUGUAUUUUUUGUAGAGAUGGGGGUCUCACUAUGUUGCCCAGGCUGGUCUUGAACUCCUAGGCUCAAGCGAUCUGCCUUCCUCAGCCUCCCAAAGUGCUGGGAUUACAGGCAUGAGCCACUGUGCCCAGCCCACUUCCUCUAUUCUUCAAACAUCCCUAACCAAGAACAUUUUUUUUUUCCUGAGACAGAGUCUUGCUCUGUUGCCCAGGUUGGAGUGCAGUGGCGCAAUCUCGGCUCACUGCAACCUCCACCUCCUCGGUUCAAGCGAUUCUCCUGCCUCAGUCGGCCGAGUAGCUGGGAUUACAGAUGCACGCCACGAAGCCCAGCUGAUUUUUGUAUUUUUUAAUAGGAAAAUGAAAGAAAAAGCUCAAUGCCUUCUCUUGUCCUGCCACCACUACCCCC
rnacentral:lncRNA from 10 species